UCUUUCUUUUUUUUUUUAAGUAUAUUUAUUUAUUCCAUGAGCACCUCAGAGACAGACAACACCUUUAACAGGGUCUUGGCCUCGCUCUUCAUCCGCAUCUUCAGCCAGCCUCAGUGUGUGCCUGGAGUACCCAAGGGAGUCUCUGGGAAGCCACAUGGAUCAGCCCCACAGAGUGGCUCAGUUUCCCGCGCCUCUCUCCACCCCAUAUCAUGUCCUUCCCAACGAAGGCUGCGCAGCACGCUCCUCGCUCCUCGGGCAGCCCGCCUCACCCCUCAGGCCUAACAGCUCGCCUGCGCCUGCACUGCUGCCGCGGUGCCUGCAGGGGGGAGUGGUCUCACCCUCCUCUUUCUGAUGGAGAAACCAAGGAAUAUGAUAGGACCCUUUUUCUGGUUCCCGGGAUGAGAACAAGGUCCACUGUGUCUCAGUGCAUGGCCCUGGACGGAUGACUCGCUCGGGAAAGGAAUUCCCCCCUCCCCAAACCACCCUGAUACCUGCAUAUCGAUGCCAUAGAUCCAGGCCCAGCAUGCUGUACUGCCCGGAUGAUCACGGUUAUUUCUGGGUGCUUUCCGGGGGCGGUACCCGGGGAGGGGAUGUGGGGGUGCUCAGCUGCCUUCUCACAGUCCACAUCCCCCUCCCGGGGCCCUCCCCACCCCCACUCGUCCUCCCUGCCCGAGUUCUGGGAGGAGGGAAGGAAGCCUGCUAAGCCGGGGUAUAAAUAACUCAGGUGGUUACUCAGCUCCUGAGAACACCAUAACAUGACUCACGAUGGAAUCGAGAGGAGCCUUGGGCCUCCGCCCCGGCAGGACAGCGGAGCUGCUGGGAGGGCGGGCAGGGCCCAGGCUGACAGGUGGCCUUAGACAAGCCUCUUCCCAGCUUGGCCUCAGUUUACUCGUCCAGAACGUGAGGGGGCUGGCUUCAUUCCAAGGCCCUCCCUGAGCUGGGAAGACAGACAGAGCAGGGGCCGAGCUCAGAGCAUUGCUGGCUCCUCCCCUCUGCCUGUCACAGGGGUGGACAGAGCGUGCCCACUGGACGCCUGCUACCACCCCCAGCCCCCAUGUCCAGGGCAAGGGGCUAGGGGCUCCCUGGGCCUAGAUGGGCCUUGCGGGAUGGAGGUAGGGGACUAGGACAGGAGCGGAAAGGUCCUGGACACUGGCCUGCAGAGCCAUGACCUGCAGGGGUGGCCCUGGGUUGAGGACGAUCCUCCCCUCCUUUGGCUUUGUGGCUGCGGUGUGGGCAGGAGCUGUGGACACAGAAACAGGACACUGCAAGGAGCUCCAGCCACACCAGCCUGAGCCCAGGCAGCGAGGCUGGGCUGCUGGCCGGUCCCUGGCGCUGGCCAGCCUGGGUCAGAGGCAUCCCCUGCCUAUCCUCCUCACCUGAGUAGGUCCUCCGCUUCAGGCUCGUCUCCAGGGCAGCGCAGGCCUCAGCCCAGGUUGCCAUGGCAAUGGCUCUGGAGCCUGUACAGGCCGCAGGCUGAGCCACCUCCCUGACCACCUAGAGCUGCCAGGCCCGGUGGGGCAGCAGGGCCCUGUCUGCAAGAAGACGUCGGGUUGGGGUACUGGUGUGCUGCUGACCUAGGCUGGACAUUGGGGCACAAGGGUGUCCGUGUGGCCUUGGGCCUGGGUCUGAGCCUCAGGCACCCCUGUAGACAGCAGAGGGUGCUGUCGCAGCUGUCCGGAGGUCACACAGCUCAGGGACCCCUUCCCACACUUGACCUCAAGCCAAAAGGCUGCAGCCUCAGAGCCCUACUCACCAGGCUUUGCUCUGACCCUUGGCCUAGCUUUGUCUCCGGCGAGGAGGGGGCCACCUCACCCACUGCCCCCCACCUCUGCAGGCUAGACAGCUUGGCAUGGCUCAGACCCAGCCAUUCAACGGGCAGCCUGCCCUCUGGCCCCUUACUAACAAUGGGGACUCCAGGAAUAUUGUCCGGCCUGGGCUGAAUCAAACACUCUAAAUUUAGCCCAUCUGAUGCGUCCUCUGUUUCCGGCCCCUGCUGCCCUCCUUUCAAGGCGAUGAGGUCACCCCAGAACUGCCUGCCCAGAGCCAGACCUGGGGGUUUCCAGGCCCAGGACGCUCUCCUGCACUGGGGGGAGCGGAGCCUCUUGGGGACCCAGAUUCAGGGUCUUCCCUGCUUCUCUCCUUCCCAUCUGCUCUGUCCUGCCCUGCCCCACCCGCCUGGGUUGCUGGGCUCGUAGCUGGUGCUCCUUGGCCUCCCUGGCCUCGUGCCAUCCACAAGACUUUGGCCAUCGGCCGGGGGGAGACCGUGGAGGGAAGCAGCAGUGAGCUCCCGGGGAAGGGUCAGGGCUCGGGCUCCUUCAGGCCUAGAGCGCUGCGUGCCCUCCCACUGGACAGCCCGGAGGGAAGGAGGACAGUCACAAGUAAUCAAUAAAGGAACAGAGCGAUUGCCGUCGUGAGGAUGCGGUAAAGGGGAAGUCAGUCCGAAAUGGGAUCAUGAAACUGAGGUGGGUGGAGGGCCCUGCUUUGAGCAAGGGGUCAGGGAAGGCCUCUCAGAGGGGUGACAUUUGAGCUGAGUCUUGGAUGACCAGAAAGAACUAUUCGAAGAUCUGGGUGGAGCCGAGCCCUCCAGGCAAAGGAGUGGCAAGUACAGACGCCCCAGGAGGGAAGGCAUCUCUGGCUGGAGGCUUGGCCUGGACGUCAUUAUGGCUGGAAGGAGGGAGCAGGGGUGGGCGCGGGCACUGUGGGUCAGGAAGGAGCAGGGACCAGAGAGGGGCUCGUGACAUGCCCUGUGUGAGCAGCAUCCCGCACGCGCCCGGGGUGGUGACCCGGGCAGUUAGCUGCUGUGUACAGAUGGGAUGGGGUGAGACCAGGGACGAGGCGAUGGUCACAGCAAUGUGGAAUAAUAAAA